rnacentral:tRNA from 1 species
GCCUUAGUAGUAUAAAAAUUACAUUGGUCUUGUAAACCAAAAACGGAGUACUAACCUCCCUAAGACA